AUGACGGGCAAGGCGAAGCCGAAGAAGCACACGGCCAAGGAGAUCGCGGCUAAGAUCGACGCGGCGACGACCAACCGCGGCGGGGGCAAGGCCGGGCAGAAGGACCGGCUCGGGCAGGAGAAGGGCGGCCACGCCAAGAUGGAGUGCCCGCUCUGCAAGGUGACGGCCCCCGACGUCAAGUCGAUGCAGAUCCACCACGAGGCGCGCCACCCCAAGCUCCCCUUCGACCCCGAGAAGAUCAACAACCUGCACGGCUCCACCGCCGCGGCUCCCGCGGCGGCGGCCGCCGUCGCCUCCACCUCCAAGCCCAAGCCCGGCGUCCGCGGCAGCCUCAAGAAGACGGGCGAUGAACAGAAAUGA
rnacentral:rRNA from 1 species